GUGUGUGUGGCAGAGAGGUAAAGCGUUUGGCUUCCGAAGCAAGAAGCCCCGGGUUCAAAUCCCGGUGAAGACC
rnacentral:tRNA from 1 species